rnacentral:rRNA from 1 species
UGGGGAAUAUUGCACAAUGGGCGCAAGCCUGAUGCAGCCAUGCCGCGUGUAUGAAGAAGGCCUUCGGGUUGUAAAGUACUUUCAGCGGGGAGGAAGGGAGUAAAGUUAAUACCUUUGCUCAUUGACGUUACCCGCAGAAGAAGCACCGGCUAACUCCGUGCCAGCAGCCGCGGUAAUACGGAGGGUGCAAGCGUUAUUCGGAAUUACUGGGCGUAAAGCGCACGCAGGCGGUUUGUUAAGUCAGAUGUGAAAUCCCCGGGCUCAACCUGGGAACUGCAUCUGAUACUGGCAAGCUUGAGUCUCGUAGAGGGGGGUAGAAUUCCAGGUGUAGCGGUGAAAUGCGUAGAGAUCUGGAGGAAUACCGGUGGCGAAGGCGGCCCCCUGGACGAAGACUGACGCUCAGGUGCGAAAGCGUGGGGAGCAAACAGG